UUGCGCUGGAAUUGAAAUUUGAUUUGGAAUUCAGAUAUAUUUGUUUCAUUCCAUUCCGUGAAAUGAACGCUACCUGUGUCAAGGGGUCGAAACUGAAACCAAAUUCAAAAAUCAAUCAUUUUAUUUCGUUGAUAAUUAUUUUGCAAGGCAUUACACUCAAGUGAAAUAAGACUUUCAAAUGCACCAACUAAUGCUUUGACCCCUUUCCUUCUUUGCUCCUUUUUGUCAUCCU
rnacentral:lncRNA from 1 species